UUGUGGGAACGCUGUUUGGAGCAUUAAUUCAGUUUUGAGUUUGUUGUUUAUUUCAUGCAGGAACCUGCAUCAGAGAUACAUGACAAGAUUUUAUUUAUGUUUAAUAAUAUUUCAGCUUCAAAUAUGGAUGUGAAAGCAAAAGAAUUUACUGAUGUCCUGAAAGAGCAGUACUAUCCAUGGUUUGCUGAGUAUAUGGUGAUAUCUUAUUAAUAACCUUUUAGUUUCAUCAGCUGAUUUUUACUUUACUGGGACAUUAUAUUUGACAGAGCAAGCAUUGAGCCAAAUUUUCAUGAGUUGUACUUGAAGUUCUUGGAGAAAGUUAAUUCAAGAAUGCUGAAUAAGGAGAUUGUCAAAGCUACUUAUGAGAAUUGCAAGCUGCCUUGGCUUUAGACUUCUUUCCUUUCAUCUCUGGCGCUGGGCUAUUCUGGAAGGGAAGGAAGGCAGUACUCAUGAAGGGUUGUAAAGGUGCCGGAAUCUCAAUGCCAUCUUCCUUUUGGUAAUUUUCAAGAAUACAGCAAAUGGUCCUUUCUGUUGCUGUGAGGGUAGAGUUCAACAAAUGACUGCCUGUUUUUUCUUUCUUUUGCGGAAUAUUGCAGAGUCCACCUGCUUUCAUGAAUUACUAGGAAACUAAUUUUGUAAUUGUAAUUGUAAUUGAUUGAAUGAAGGAUUGGAAUUGAAUGAA